AGAGAGAGAGAGAGAAACCUUGGAUGUUAGAAAGGCGGAGAGCAACUUUAAGAUUCACUUUUUCUUCUUGUAUCAAAGUUGCUAAAGAUAAAAUCUCAGGAUCGAUUCUCUAGAUGGACAAAAAAGAAAAGCACCAAUAACAAUGAAAAGUCUGAAUUGGACCAAUAUCUUGAAGAGCCAAGAAAACCAUACGAAAAAGAUUAUGAUGUUCUAGCAUAUUGGAAGUCAUGUCAAGCCCAACAUCCUGAUUUGUCUCGACUAGCUAGUGAUAUCUUGACAAUUCCUAUGUCAACGGUGGCAUCUGAAUCUGCAUUUAGUGCAGGGGGUAGGGUGCUUGAUAAAUAUCGAAGUAGAUUGGUCCCUAAAAACGUUGAAGCUUUGGUAUGCUUGCGUGAUUGGAUGUACGAUGCGACUUUUGGAGAUGAGGAGGAUGAAGAGGAAUUAUUUGAAGCUUUGGAAGAUGUGUUUUCAGAGCCGUCUACUCCUACUUUAGCAUCAUCCACCACUACUGCUGGUUUUUAUUAGUAUUUUUGUUUGUAUUUCACUUUCUCAAUGUAAUAUUUUCUUUUGCUAUUUGACUAUUUGAAUGCUAGUAAUUGUUGUUCUAUCUUGUACCUAUGGAGAUUGAAAUGCCUAUGGAAUAUGGAUGGAUGUAGACCAAGUUAGAAUUAAGUGCCCAUCCUUCAGAUUUGGGAACAUGUCCAUGUGAAUCUUUGAGACUCAACUAUAAGAAGCAAGAUUUGUGUUCUUUGUAUCA